GCGUGCUAGCGGUGCCCUUGUGAGCCACUGCGUUCUCCAAGGCCAGAACGGGACAGCAAAAAAGACAGAAGAUUAAAGGAUCUGAAAUUCAUUCAACGAUAAAAGUGCUUAAAACAUUCUAUCUUGGAGAGAUUUACAUUUUAAUUGGUAGCAAGCUUGAAAAGAAAAGAAUGAAGAUCUUGGAUACUUCUAAUCAUCAAGGAAAGGGUACAAAUCAAACUGCUCUGAUGGCCUGAUUUGCACUUCUUCUACAGUUGACGAUGGUCGUACUUCUCCAUGUUCUGAGACCAGUUUAAACAAAAACAAAAACCAGACAACAACCUUGCAAGGGAAAGAAUUCAGAGUAAAUAAACAGUCUUUUUCUGGGAAGUAAAAUAUUUCCCUAAGAUGGAGAAAUUGAGAUGAGAGCUCAUCCACAAGAUUACCCAUCAAUGAGCACCAAUAGCAACCAAAUCCACUAGAAGACUGGGAGCUUUUAAGUCAAGAAACUUACAUCAGUAUCAUCAUUCCAAGAAGCGGUAUCCAAGCUGUUUUAUCGAAAGUGCGCAUGGGAGGCAGAUUUUGACUCCAAAAGUCCAGGAUGGGGCCUGAGGUUCUGCAUGUCUAACAAUUUCCCAGCUGAUGCCAAAGCUGCUGAUCAGAGUCUACACCUUAAGAAAUAAGACUCUGAGAAUUUAUAGAAACAAACAUUAGAAGGCAGGAAUGUGGAGAGAAGAAAGCUACCUGACAAGGGAAUCUCAGGAUACAAGGAAAACACCAAGGAAUGUAAAUCUCUGUUUACCACAAGCCCUCUGUCUCCACAAGUUCUGUGUCCAGAACUGAAGGCAGAUCCAAAUACAAUAUUCAUGGGAUGCAAAUUCCCAUGUAUGCCAAGAGAUAACUGCUUUAUUGGAGGCCUAGUGGGGAACUGAAACUCCCACUCCUGCUUAGCAGGAAUGAGAAGCCCCCUUUCAGAGGUCAACAGAAGCUGAGUUAAGAAACCUGAACUUUUACCCUACCUGGCAGUAAUGAAGCGACACCCACCUUCGUCUGUGAGGAUGGUGUGAGAUGAAGGUAGCUAAAACAAAAGGUUUAAAUAAGAUUCAGAGUCUCAUCAUAUUGAAAUGUCCAUAUUUCAGUGGAAAAUUACUCAUCAUACAAAAACAAGAAAGAACUAAAACUAAGUGAGAAAAGAUAAUAAAUAUAUGCCAACAUCAAGAUGACACAAAUGUUAGAAUUAUCUGGCAAAGCUUGUAAAGCAGCCAUCAUAAAAAUACUCCAAUGAACAAUUAAAACAUUCUUGUAGCUAAUGAAAAUUUAUUUGGAAAGCUUCAACAAAGAAAUAGGAAGUCAUAACCAAAAAUAGAAGAUAAAAGAGUCAAAUGGAAAAUUUUGAACUGAAGAAUACAAUAACCAAUAUAAAAAACUCAAUGCAUGGGCAGAAUGGAGGAGACAGAGGAAAUAUUGGUGAACUGGAGGAAACAAUAUAAAUUGACCAUCUAUACAACAGAGAGAAGAUAGAGUGAAAAAAAGAUGAAAGGAACCUCAAAGACCUUCGAGAUUAUAG
rnacentral:lncRNA from 1 species